rnacentral:rRNA from 1 species
CAUGUAGGCGGUUGUUUAAGUCGGACGUGAAAGCUCCUGGCUCAACUGGGAGAGGCCGUUCGAAACUGAACAACUCGAGGAUGGUAGAGGAGAGUGGAACUCCCGGUGUAGUGGUGAAAUGCGUAGAUAUCGGGAGGAACACCAGUGGCGAAGGCGGCUCUCUGGGCCACUCCUGACGCUGAGAUGCGAAAGCUAGGGGAGAGAACG